UACAGAGGUCUCGAGCGUUGUUCGGAUUCAUUGGGCGUAAAGGGCGCGUAGGCGGCGGGGUAAGUCUGGUGUGAAAUCUCGGAGCUCAACUCCGAAAUUGCACUGGAUACUGCUCUGCUAGAGGGCUGGAGAGGAGAUCGGAAUUCACGGUGUAGCAGUGAAAUGCGUAGAUAUCGUGAGGAAGACCAGUGGCGAAGGCGGAUCUCUGGACAGUUCCUGACACUGAGACACGAAGGCCAGGGGAGCAAACGGG
rnacentral:rRNA from 1 species